rnacentral:rRNA from 1 species
UACGGAGGGUCCAAGCGUUAUCCGGAUUUAUUGGGUUUAAAGGGUGCGUAGGCGGCACAGUAAGUUAGAGGUGAAAUCUAGUGGCUCAACCACUAAACUGCCUCUGAUACUGCUGAGCUAGAGAUUAGAUGCUGUGGGCGGAAUGUGUAGUGUAGCGGUGAAAUGCUUAGAGAUUACACAGAACACCGAUUGCGAAGGCAGCUCACAAAUCUACUUCUGACGUUGAGGCACGAAAGCGUGGGUAGCAAAC